rnacentral:lncRNA from 1 species
AGGCUCCUCUGUGCGUGGCAUUCUCCAGGCAAGAAUACCAGUCAGUGGGCUGCCACUUUCUCCUCCAGGGGAUCUUCCCAACCCAAGGAUCAAACCCACGUCUCCUGUAUCUCUGGCAGAUUAGGGACUGGGGAGUUAUCUGCUUCCUGAGCAGUUUCUGCUUGAGCUGAUAAAUGUUUGAAAGCAGCCUUGAUGGAUGCAAAACAAUGUGAAUGUACUAAAGGCCGCUGAAUCACACUUACAAAUGGGCAAGUUUUUAUGCUGUAGAUAGUCUACCACAAUGAGAACGUAUUUCCCUGUGGCUUCCCACCAUGGAGGGAUAAUACAAACUAGCGACUGUUUCCUAGAGAAACUUCUUAGAGAAGAAACUUUAUCCCCUGAACCGAAGGCUGAGUUCUACAAACAGCGCAAGAUAGCCCGGCCACCGCCCAACAGAAGGGAUGGACUGGUUUCCUUCUUGUUCUUCUAUGAAACUAAACGGGUUGGGACAUCAGAACAGGUACUUUUCCCGUUUUUUCUGAAAAAUCCAGGAAAAGGCGUGAGGUUGUUCGCGGUGCAAGGUUGUGUACUCGGUUGAUAUGAAUCAGGUGCUGUGAGAAACGGCUUCCGGUGGGUCUUACGCAGGUCAGGGUCCUGGGUUCCCACAAGCGCUACCCCUGGGAAGCCCUGUGACCUAGUGUGGACCCAGUAUCCCAAACCCCUCCUCUACAAAACGCUUCAAGUUUCCCUUCCAAGUCUACAGUUCUGCAGCAAAAGUCUAUGAAAUUAGUACCAGAAAGAAAUAGAAAUGGUUACAUAUUUGAGCCUGAGCACCAUUUUAUAGAUUAAUGGGUUCAUGAUGUUAGCAAAAGAUAUGUGUGGUGGAUCCAGUCGCUGCCGCUCAAAAGCCUGUAAACAGGCCAGGUUGAUGGAAAGAAAAGUUUGCUUUAUUUCAGAUGCUGGCAACUGUUGGUGGGGAGAGGGUGAAAGACAUCUGUCCAAAGGCCAACUCCCCCUGCCUUACAAGCAGGGGGUGAGAGCUUUUAUAGACAGAGUGGGAGGAGGUUUCAUACAGUCAUCUUUAAUUGGUCAUCAGUGGUCUGACUUUAAUUGGUCAUCAGUGGUCUGACUAGCAUCAUCUUGGUUGUUUUAGGUAGAGUUAGAACAAAGUUAGUGGAGGUGAUGGAAUUCCGGUUGAUCUUUUUCAAAUCAUAAAAGAUGAUGCUGUGAAAGUGCUGUACUCAAUAUGUCAGCAAGUUUGGAAAACUCAACAGUGGCCACAAGACUGGAAAAGGUCAGUUUUCAUUCCAAUCCCAGAGAGAGGUAAUGCCAAAGAAUGUUCAAACUACCACACAAUUGCACGCAUCUCACACCCUAGCAAAGUAAUGCUCAAAAUUCUCCAAGCCAGACUUCAACAGUACAUGAACCAUGAACUUCCAAAUGUUCAAGCUGGAUUUAGAAAAGGUAGAGGAACCAAAGAUCAAAUUGCCAACAUUCACUGAGUCAUCAAAAAAGUGAGAGAGUUUCAUAAAAACAUCUACUUCUGCUUUAUUGACAUGCCAAAGCCUUUUACUGUGUGGAUCACAAUAAGCUGUGGAAAAUUCUUCAAGAGGUGGGACCUCUUACCUGACCAGACCACCUUACCUGCCUCCUGAGAAACCUGUAUGCAGGUCGAGAAGCAACAGUUAGAACUGGGCAUGGAACAACAGACUGGUUCCAAAUUGGGAAAGAAGUAUGUCAAGGCUAUAUAUUGUCACCCUGCUUAUUAAACUUAUAUGCAGAGUACAUCAUGAGAAAUGCUGGGCUGGAUGAAGCACCAACUGGAAUCAAGAUUGCUGGGAGAAAUAUCAAUCACCUCAGAUAUGCAGAUGACACCACACUUGUGGCAGAAAGCAAAGAACUAAAGAGCCUCUUGAUGAAAGAGGAGAGUGAAAAAGUUCACUUAAAAUGAAACAUUCAGAAAACUGAGAUCAUGGCACCUGGUCCCAUCAUUUCAUGGCAAAUAGAUGGGGAAACAAUGGAAACAGUGAGAGACUUUAUUUUCUUGGGCUCCAAAAUCACUGCAGAUGGUGACUGCAGCCAUGAAAUUAAAAGAUACUUGCUCCUUGGAAGGAAAGUUAUGACCAACCUAGACAGCAUAUGAAAAAGCAGAGACAUUUCUUUGCCAACAAAGUUCUGUCUAGUCAAAGCUUUGAUUUUUCCAGUAGUCAUGUAUGGAUGGGAGAGUUGGACUAUAAAUAAAGCUGAUCACUGAAGAAUUGAUGCUUUGGAA